rnacentral:rRNA from 1 species
CCUACGGGAGGCUGCAGUGGGGAAUAUUGCACAAUGGGGGAAACCCUGACGCAGCGACGCCGCGUGAGUGAAGAAGGAUUUCGGUAUGUAAAGCUCUAUUAGCAGUGAAGAAAAUGACGGUACCUGAUUAAGAAGCCCUGGCUAACUACGUGCCAGCAGCCGCGGUAAUACGUAGGGGGCAACAGUUAUCCGGAUUCACUGGGUGGAAAGGGGGUGUAGAUGGGAUCGAAAGUCUGGAGUGAAAAGGCGGGGCUUAACCCCGAAAUUGCUUUGGAAACUGUGCAGCUAGAGUGCAGGAGAGGUAAGUGGAAUUCCUAGUGUAGCGGUGAAAUGCGUAGAUAUUAGGAGGAACACCAGUGGCGAAGGCGGCUUACUGGACUGUAACUGACGUUGAGGCUCGAAAGCGUGGGGAGCAAACAGGAUUAGAUACCCCUGUAGUC